GACGAACGCUGGCGGCGUGCUUAACACAUGCAAGUCGAACGGAAAGGCCCUGCUUUUGUGGGGUGCUCGAGUGGCGAACGGGUGAGUAACACGUGAGUAACCUGCCCUUGACUUUGGGAUAACUUCCGGAAACUGGGGCUAAUACCGGAUAGGAGCUCCUGCUGCCUGGUGGGGGUUGGAAAGUUUCGGCGGUUGGGGAUGGACUCGCGGCUUAUCAGCUUGUUGGUGGGGUAGUGGCUUACCAAGGCUUUGACGGGUAGCCGGCCUGGGAGGGUGACCGGCCACAUUGGGACUGAGAUACGGCCCAGACUCCUACGGGAGGCAGCAGGGGGGAAUAUUGCACAAUGGGCGGAAGCCUGAUGCAGCAACGCCGCGUGCGGGAUGACGGCCUUCGGGUUGUAAACCGCUUUCGCCUGUGACGAAGCGUGAGUGACGGUAAUGGGUAAAGAAGCACCGGCUAACUACGUG
rnacentral:rRNA from 1 species